UACAGAGGGUGCAAGCGUUAAUCGGAAUUACUGGGCGUAAAGCGCGCGUAGGCGGUUACGUAAGUUGGGUGUGAAAUCCCCGGGCUCAACAUGGGAAUUGCACUCAAAACUGCGUGGCUAGAGUGUGGGAGAGGAAGGUAGAAUUCCAGGUGUAGCGGUGAAAUGCGUAGAUAUCUGGAGGAAUACCGAUGGCGAAGGCAGCCUUCUGGCCUAACACUGACGCUGAGGUGCGAAAGCAUGGGGAGCAAACAGG
rnacentral:rRNA from 1 species